CAUACAUUCAUCUUGUCAUUGGAAGCAGUCCAGUUCGUGACUCACUCCUCUCUCAUGGGAGCCUGCUGUCAUUGAUGGAGGAGUUGGUGAAGUGCCAUCAACCAGUAAACCACAUUCUGAUGGCACAUAAAUCAAAUCAAACUUUAUUUGUCACGUACGCCGAAUACCACAGGUGUAGGUAGACCUUACAGUGAAAUGCUGACUUACAACAGGCUCUAACCAACAGGCAAUUUCUAAGUAAAGAAAAUAGGUAUUAGGUGAACAACAGAUAAGUAAGGAAAAGUAAGGAACAGUGAAUGAUAACAGUAGAGAGGCUAUAUACAGUAGAGGCUAUAUACAGUAGAGAGGCUAUAUACAGUAGAGAGGCUAUAUACAGUAGAGAGGCUAUAACAAGUAGAGAGGCUAUAUACAGUAGAGAGGCGAUAUACAGUAGAGAGGCGAUAUACAGUAGAGAGUCUAUAUACAGUAGUGAGGCGAUACACAGUAGAGAGUCUAUUUACAGUAGAGGCUAUAUACAGUAGAGGCUAUAUACAGGCCCCGGUUAGUCAGGCUGAUUGAGGUAGUAUGUAGAUAUGGUUAAAGUGACUAUGCAAAUAUGAUGAACAGAGAGUAGCAGUAGCGUAAAAGAGAGAUUGGCGGGUGGUGGGUGGUUGGACACAAUGCACCGGUUAGUUGGGCUAUUUGAGGUAGUAUGUAGAUAAAUGACUAAGUGACUAAGCAUAUAUGAUCAACAGAGAGUAACAGCAGCAUAAAAUAGGGGUUGGGGGGGCACACAAUGCAAAUAGUCAUUCAACCUGUUCAGGAGUCUUAUGGCUUGGGG
ensembl:lncRNA